GACAGAGGGUGCGAACGUUGCUCGGAAUUACUGGGCGUAAAGCGCGUGUAGGCGGACUGGUAAGUCGGACGUGAAAUCCCUGGGCUCAACCCAGGAACUGCAUCCGAAACUAUCAGUCUGGAGUGGUGGAGAGGAAAGCAGAAUUCCUGGUGUAGAGGUGAAAUGCGUAGAGAUCGGGAGGAACAUCUGUGGCGAAGGCGACUGCCUGGACCAGCACUGACACUGAGGCACGAAAGCGUGGGGAGCAAACAGG
rnacentral:rRNA from 1 species